GAAGGGCAAGUAAGUUGCAACCCAAAUAGUGGGAUGUUGUACAGAAGGAAGAAUGUCUCCCCUGAUCAAAAUUACCUUCUUUCCAUCCAACCAGGUUAUUGGUUCCUCCAGGUGCAGAAACAUGGGCCAGUGGCUGAGGCCCGGCUCCACGAGGAAAUGUUGGGAGAAGGCAACACACAUGGAGGAGAAGCAAGGAGGCAGCCAUGGGUGUCCAUGCUGAAGGAAGACGCAAGUUCUUAGAGGCAAGCUUCAAGUUCAACGACGAAACAACUCGAAGGAGAUGUUACCAGAUGGAAGGUCUUGACUCUCUUUUGAGAUCUACAAGGACAGUGAACAGACAUCAUGGAGGGAAUGCUGGAGUCGGUUACCCACGUAUCUGUUAUGCCAGAGGAAUGGGGUCCACAGUGGUCAGUGUGAGGCUCAGCCAGUGUGAGGGGAGGAACCAAGUUUGCACAGAGAAAGACGCAAGAGCGCCGUGCUGAGCUCCCGCUCCCUAUUCCAGCCUCACAGAGACCCAGUCACACCUCGCUCUUCCCCUCAUGUGGACUUCCCUGACCUACACCAGUGCCAGCCGCAUUUCUGCCACUUUAAGCUGAAGCCGAGCCCGGACUGACACAGUUUUCUCAUUUCCCCGAGAGCAGCACCACUCCUGAUUAUCCCCUCCCAAGCCCCAGGAAACUCGCAACAAAAGCAGUCUUAGAUUAAAUUCAGUGAGUUUCUGCAUCACAACAGGAAACUGUGUCGAGCACAAAGGUGUCCUGCGAACAGGCUCAAUCACAAGCUCCGCCAAGACGGGAGGUGACAGAGGCCCCAGAAAGCCCGUUCCCGACAACGCCAAUACUGCACGUUUAUCAGCUGCGGCGAGAGUUGGCUGGAGGCGGUGGCGGUACCUCAAUGCUCCUGCCUCGUCUUCGAGAUUCUUCUGUUUGAUGAUGCCUCCUCACUGUUUCUAUAGUGUGGCUAUGGUGUGGCUCACAACCAAGCGAUGACUCUCCAGAUUCAAAGACCACAUCUCACCCUCUCGAAAGCGCCCAGGUGCCCAGCGCAGUGCCGUGUGCAGAAAGGGGUUGAUGAGCAUUUGCUGAGCUGGGUGAUGAUCCCAUGGGCAUUGUUUCCUCUGCCCUCAGUCUCCAGCCUGCAGACGCCUGAAUGGAUUCUGGAGAGGUGUGUGUUGGACUCUGAGGGUCCUCUGAGCCCAUCCGGGAUAACGAUGCUCCUCCCAGGCGUCUGCUCGGCAGCGUGCUGUCGGCAGGACAUUCCGCACCAGGUAUCUUCACGCUGCUUCUGGCUGGACUUAGGGCACGAUGGAAACAUAGAAACAACUGUAGUUCUGCCACGGGGCCCCACAUCUGCUCAUCCUGGGACAGUCACGUCAUCCCCACCCAGGAAGCGGCAGCAGAUUUCAGGACCCUGGAGAGGGCCAGGCCCCAGUGGCUGGUCAAGCUCCUCAGGGUUAGGGGAGCAGCUCAGGAAGGCCCCCCCAGGACGAUGAGGGGAACAGGAAUGAAAUCAGCAGGUGGGCGGGAGGAACUUGAUCAGAGCAGUGGGAGGGCAGGAAGCACGCUGGGGAGGGGCCCCUGAGAGGCCACCACCCAGGGA